GCCCAAACGCAUCUGCAGCGCUAAGCCUAAAGUUGGACAAGGCAACGUCCCUUCGAAUUUCUAAUAUGGACUUCCGAAAGGUCUGCCGCUCGCUUAUGGAGGCGGAACCUGGCCCAGGUGGACCAGAAUAGGCAGCUACAUUCAGAUGAUAUUCUGAAUCCGUCACAAGGACUGUGUCGCGCGUAUUGCGAACGUUUUGAUGGAGCUGGAAAAUGAACCCUUGAAUGCAUUCAAA